UUUCCAUUUUGUAGUUGUAUAAGUUUUCCAUAGGCUUCGAUCAUCUCCCCAAUAAACCCAGAGCCUCAUUUUCUCCUGCUAAGCAAAAGAAAAUCAAGGAGGCCUGCAACUUCGUAUGCAGUCCGCCACUGCAAAUCAGUCUGGAAACUGGAAAAUUCAAAGGUCAUAUUUUUCACUUUCUGGAUGUGCAAAGUUUGGAUAGUACACAUCACCGGGCCAAACCUUUCUCAGGAAUGUCAUUCUAAAAGGAUAUUGGCAGGAGGGGGUGGAAUGUCAUUCUAAGAUAUAUAUAUCAGCAGCAAGGGUGUGGAAGCUCACACGCUCAGAUUUCAACGCGUUUCGAAGGUGGAAAUGA